AGUAGCAGGGCUGGGUCAGGCAGGCCCUAGGAGGCCGGGGAGGACUCGGGGCUUUACUUGGAGAGGGAAAGCCAUGAGAGCCUGCAACGUAGGGAUGACCUGGCUUGACGUUUAAAAGGACCAUUUGGAUGAUGCCAGACGAGAAAGAGAAGAGAGUGGAAGCUGAAAGCCGGAGGUUCUGCACAGUGCAGCUUUCCGCAGUGGUUUCCGACAAAAAACACCUUCUGGUUCUCUGUGUUCCGGUGGGACCAACAGACACACGGUCAGCGCCGAGUACACGUACAGGCGACACCGAGCGAUCGCUGCAAAGGAUACGGAAGUGCGCGUCGGCCGUCACCCCCUGUAGGUGGCAGGCGUGUGUGAACAGGUGUCUAGAAGGGUGUUGCGGUGGUCAUCCCUGAAACAACACCGGCACACCACUAGGCGGCUGCGUGCACAGAGAAACACAGGACACUACCACACCACGAGCACAGGCC